rnacentral:rRNA from 1 species
UACGUAGGUGACAAGCGUUAUCCGGAAUUACUGGGCGUAAAGCGCACGCAGGCGGCGCGGUAAGUCUGAUGUGAAAUCUCCCGGCUUAACUGGGAGGGGUCAUUGGAAACUGCCGAGCUUGAGGCGAUGAGAGGGGUGUAGAAUUCCCGGUGUAGCAGUGAAAUGCGUAGAGAUCGGGAGGAACAUCUGUGGCGAAGGCGACUGCCUGGACCAGCACUGACACUGAGGCACGAAAGCGUGGGGAGCAAACAGG